rnacentral:misc_RNA from 1 species
AUUGGGUUGGCAAUCCUUGCAUUUUGGCUUGCUGUCCAUGAAUAUGUUGAUGACUUCAUUGUCUCAGGACAAAAUGUUACGACCUUCUGGGCUGCCCUAAGCUUCUUGUUGCUUUUUGCUUAUCCAACUCCUGAAUUUCCUACUCCAAGUUUUGAGUACCAUACAGCCUUCAAUGGUGUUGCAUUUGGAAUUGUUGCUGGGAUUCAGCAAACAUACCACCAGUUCCACCAUGAAGCUGUACCACGCAUAUUUACCCAACUCACUGUCCCUGCCUUUUUGGGAAGAGCGCUUGUAGGAAUACUAACAAUACUCAUUGUGAAGUUCUGUAGCAAGGCCCUGGCAAAAUGGGUUCUUCCUGUGGUAUCAAACACGUUGAGCAUUCCCAUAAAAUCAACUAGUUAUAUACCCAUGCUAAAUGGAUCGGUAAGUGUUAAAAAAUCCGAUGAGAUCAAGCAAUCAGGUUAUAUCCAAAAGUUGCUAUUCUUCUUCUCUCACCAGAAUUCAUUUGAUGUGGAUACGGGUAUUAGAUUCCUCCAAUAUGCUGGUCUUGCUUGGUCAGUGGUUGAUCUAGUUCCUUCUCUUUUCACCCAUUUGAGGUUGUAAACUUGUAAUGCUCGGUGGCUAUUGUACUGUAUAUGCUUAGGGUGGUUUCUUUCUUUCUUUUUCCUUUCUCUUUUGUUUUUUGGAGGGGAGGCUAAGACUUUCAUCGGUGAUUAGCAAUUUAGCAUGGCUUUAAUACAUUUUAAUUUUGUAAAUUAAGUAAUUUUGUUCAGGUAGAACUCCAAUCGUUCUUCCCACUUACCUACUUCUAAU